UACGAAGGGGGCUAGCGUUGCUCGGAAUUACUGGGCGUAAAGGGCGCGUAGGCGGCACUGUUAGUCAGGCGUGAAAGUCCUGGGCUCAACCUGGGAACUGCGCUUGAUACGGCAGAGCUAGAGGAUGGAAGAGGCUCGCGGAAUUCCCAGUGUAGAGGUGAAAUUCGUAGAUAUUGGGAAGAACACCGGUGGCGAAGGCGGCGAGCUGGUCCAUUACUGACGCUGAGGCGCGAAAGCGUGGGGAGCAAACAGG
rnacentral:rRNA from 1 species